UCUCUCUCUCUCUCUCUCUCAGCCCACGGCUUCUCUCCGACCGAUAGAGAGAGAGAGAGGGAGGACAGUUUACUGCGAAACCAUGCCUCUGCAUUCUCUCGCCUCUGCCUCGCCUUCUCUCUCCCGAGAAAAACCCGACCCCCCUCUUCCCUUCCUCUCUCACCGGUCUCCUCUCGCCCCAUGAAACUCUCAAUCUCUCUCCUAUCUAUAAUGGCGAUGAUGGUGAGAAGAUGAUGAUGUGAUCUAGUCCGUUAGUCUCCAUUUUGAUGGCAUCCAAAACCCGGCAACAACCACCAGCUUGUUAGAUGCCUUCAAUCUCAUUCUAGAUGAUGCUUGGAACUUCGUUGUUUCGUUUGAGAGCUACAACAACAUCUACCACAACAAUGCUAAAGAGAAGCUCUUCAAAAAUCAAUUUGUUUUUGGCACCUUCGACGCCAAUGGUUACGAAGUGAAGCACAGAUGUUGCAUAAGAAGAAUGAUGAUAUGAAUAUGAACUCCUCUUGGAAAAGGAGUUAAAAAAAGGAAAUAGCUGAGGAGUAAAAAAAAAAAAAAGAAUUAGCUGAGUAAAGAAAAGGAAUUAGUUGCUCUCUCUCUCUCAUGCAUAUAUCCAUGAUCCCCUGUUUAUUAGUUGGUAAACUUCCACACUAGUGAUGCAUUUUCUAUGACUUGCAUGUUAUGUGAAAGCAUGAAUCUAGAGCAUUUGGCAUCCAUUAAGUUCCAAUAAUUUGUUUCCAAUUAGGUAAUGAACUUUUUAGAAGUUAAAUUACGUCAUCUUUGGAAGAUCAAUAGCAUGUAAUAUUGCUUGGAUGAAGUAGUCUGCUAUUACUGUCAUUUACUCUAAGCACCAAACACUAUGGGAUUUUGGUUUUGU